rnacentral:lncRNA from 1 species
CAACAACAAACGUGCCGCUCGAUUCAAUAACCAACCUGGGCCUGCUCCCUGCCCUCUUUGUGGUGCUCCUGAUAGCCUCUCCCACACUCUACUCAGAUGCACACACCCACAAAUCAAUAGGAUGAACAUAAACCGUCACCAUCAAGCCCUCAGCAUCUGUGGUGAAGCACUCAGCAAAGGUGACUUUGGACCCUUCAUUGUCUCAAUGGACGCUUGCAACCCAGAAAGGCUAACCUCCCUGGAUAUAGAAAUCCCAAAUGAUGUUCAAAGAAACAUUCCAAAUUGGCUCUUUCCCUCUAGACAACCACCAAA